AGGAGUCAUGACUCCUAACCAGGGACGGCUCUAGCAAUUUUGCCACCACAAGCAGUCGCUGCUGAAUUGCCGCCGUGGGACACGGAGUGCCGCCCCAUUCUAAUUGCCGCCCCAAGCACCUGCUUGGAAAGCUGGUGCCUGGAGCCGGC